AUGAUUGCCAAUGAGACAACUGUCCACAAGAGACCAAAAUGACACAGAAAUUAACAACUAUAGAUCACUGUACGGCCUUCAACAAUGAGCAAAGCCCAUAUCGCAUUGUCCGCUAUAAAAGGCCCCGAAAUGACAAUGUAAAACAAUUCAAAUGAGAAAACUAACGGCCUUAUUGAUAUAAAAAAAACGAACGAAACAAAAUAUGUAACACAUAAACAAACGACUACAGGCUCCUGAUUUGGGACAGGCGCGUACAUCAUAAUUUGGCGGGGUUAAACAUGUUAGCGGGAUCCCAACCCUCCCCUAACCUGGGACAGACUCAAUGGUAUAAUAGUACAACAUAAGAACGAACUAUAAAAACCAGUUUCUUAUGUUUUGCGUUGAAACGAC
rnacentral:lncRNA from 1 species